rnacentral:lncRNA from 1 species
AAAGAAGAACAGAGAUAAACAUCCCCUGGUGGCUUCCCCAGCCAACUCACAGAGGGCAGGCAGGACAAGCUUACAGGCUUUGGGCUCAGCUAUUUAAAUUUUCUCUAAGAGAGGUCUAGAAACCUCUUUCCUAAUGGUUGCAGCCUGUUUUCCACAGUGAACAGUGCGUACUCAAGCUGAUUAACCUCAGAGCUAUCAGGACUCAUUGCAUAAGUACAAGUAGCUAAAGAAGAGAACAGGCGUCUCUCUGUAGAACAGAUUGCUGGGAAAGAAACCCAAGUAGGUAACCAGAGCCUUCAGGUAGAGUAGUCCCUGACCUUCGCCUGUGUCCCUUUAGCUCAGUUCCUCCCUAUCACACCCUCAUUUCUAUUCUGAGGAACAAGGACUAUUCAUGAACUGGUUGGAGUUCCUGCAGAGAUGUAAAUGAACAACUAGUCACCAUUGAUAGGGCACUGUUGACAGACCAAGGACCUGAUGCCAUCAUCCACGCCCAGCUUGGUGAACUGUGACUUUCCUGGGCUUCCUUCCAGGUGCUUGGGUGACUUGGUAGCUGCAUCACUGAAGGCCAACCCCAGCAUGGGUACCACUGCAUCUCAGGAAGCCCCUGCACAGCCUGCAGGUAGCUCUAAGACUCACCCCCAGCACUGACGUACCCCUAUGGAGGUUGUACCUUUCUUCUGAGUUCUCCUGACUUUCUUUUGUGUUUGAUAAGGCUCCUCUUUCUGGUGGGAUGCACUUACUUAACCCCACACAGCCUGAAGAUGGACGUGGAACUGUGGUUUGGUGAGUCCACAUGGCUGUAAAGCACAGGACAACGCAGACUGUCAAAGUCUCCCUCCCUCUCCACAGUGUUAUUCCCCAUCACCAUGCUGCCUCCAUCCUGACCUGACAAGCCCAGUGUCCAGUGCAGGAAGCCCUCAUCCUGAGACAUGCUUCCCCUCGGAACCUCGACGUAAAGAGGAUUGCAAAACAGGAACAACAGUCAAAAGCAAGGAAAACCUAGACAGUCACAUUUCCAUAAUAUGCAAUAAGGAACCCCCUUUGAAUG